GACAUGGAGUUUGCACCAGGGGUAACGCCCUGUCUCCUUCGGGAGCGGCUCCACAGGUGCUGCAUGGCUGUCGUCAGCUCGUGCCGUGAGGUGUUGGGUUAAGUCCCCUAACGAGCGCAACCCCUGAGGUCCGUUACCUAGGUGUCGGGCCUGACUGCCGCGCGCAACGCGGAGGAAGGUGGGGAUGACGUCAAGUCAGCACGGCCCUGACGCGCAGGGCGACACACACGCUACAAUGGCCGGUACAACGGGUUGCCAAGCCGCGAGGCGGAGCCAAUCCCAGCAAAGCCGGUCUCAGUUCGGAUUGCAGGCUGCAACUCGCCUGCAUGAAGUCGGAGUUGCUAGUAACCGCGGGUCAGCACACCGCGGUGAAUACGUUCCCGGGCCUUGUACACACCGCCCGUCACACCACGAAAGCGGGCAACACCUGAAGCCGCUGGGCUAACUGGGCAACCAGAGGCAGGCGUCGAGGGUGGGGUCGGUGAUUGGGGUGAAGUCGUAACAAGGUAGGCGUAGAUGA
rnacentral:rRNA from 1 species